rnacentral:rRNA from 1 species
UACAGAGGUCUCAAGCGUUGUUCGGAUUCAUUGGGCGUAAAGGGUGUGUAGGUGGCGCGCUAAGUCGGGGUGUGAAAUUUCGGAGCUUAACUCCGAAACUGCAUUCGAUACUGGCGUGCUUGAGGACUGGAGAGGAGACUGGAAUUCAUGGUGUAGCAGUGAAAUGCGCAGAUAUCGGGAAGAACACCCGUGGCGAAGGCGGUUCUCUGGGACGGUACUGACGCUGAGACGCGAAAGCGUGGGGAGCGAACAGG